AACACUUGUAUGUUUUAACAUGUGGACAAACAGGUUCAAAAAACCCUCUUGCAACCCAGAACUCAUUGUUCAGUAUGAGCUUUCAUAAGUGUAAGAAGGGAUU
ensembl:snoRNA